CCCAUUCAAAUUGCCUUCACUCCUGAGUCUUUGAGUGUCAGGUUUAAGCUGUUGACCGAUGAGGUCCCUUAUGCUUGUGAGCCUGUUAGAUUCUAUACACAUAUGAAUCUUCCUCAUAUUCGAUUAUCUGAUUGUCAGAUUCAAGCCGAUGACAUAUGAGGGUUGGUCCUUGCCAUAUCAAUCAAGUCCCA